rnacentral:rRNA from 1 species
AAUAGAUACCCGGGUAGUCCACGCCGUAAACGAUGAGUGCUAGGUGUUGGGGACUCCAAUCCUCAGUGCCGCAGCUAACGCAAUAAGCACUCCGCCUGGGGAGUACGGCCGCAAGGCUGAAACUCAAAGGAAUUGACGGGGGACCCGGCACAAGCGGUGGGAGCAUGUGGUUUAAUUCGAAGCAACGCGAAGAACCUUACCAGGGCUUGACAUCCCUCUGACCCCCUCUAGAGAUAGAGGUUCUCUUCGGAGCAGAGGUGACAGGUGGUGCAUGGUUGUCGUCAGCUCGUGUCGUGAGAUGUUGGGUUAAGUCCCGCAACGAGCGCAACCCUUGUCUUUAGUUGCCAGCAUUGAGUUGGGGCACUCUAAGGAGACUGCCGUCGACAAGACGGAGGAAGGUGGGGAUGACGUCAAAUCAUCAUGCCCCUUAUGUCCUGGGCUACACACGUGCUACAAUGGAUGGUACAACGGGCUGCGAACUCGCGAGAGUAAGCCAAUCCCAAAAAACCGNUUCUCAGUUCGGAUUGU